rnacentral:tRNA from 1 species
UAGGAAAGUCGGAGUUGAACCAACAUCAAAAAACUCAAAAUCUUUUGCACUUCCAAUUAUGCUACUCCCUA